rnacentral:misc_RNA from 1 species
CAACCCUCAGGCCCCCCGGGCCUGGUGUUGGGGAUCGGCGGAGCCCUCUGGGCACACGCCGUCCCCCAAAUUCAGUGGCGGUCUCGCUGCAGCCUCCAUUGCGUAGUAGCUAACACCUCGCAACUGGAAGGCGGCGCGGCCAUGCCGUAAAACCCCCAACUUCUGAA